CAGCAUGUUACGGUCCACUGGGAGAACAGAAGUCUCCUGGGGACGUAUGGACAUCGAAUUGCCAUCAAUGCACCUGUACUGAAGCUCAGGCCGUAGACUGCAAACCCAAAGAGUGUCCGCCUCCACCUACUUGCAAAUCUGGAGAGAAGCUUGUGACAUUCAAAUCGAAUGAAUCCUGCUGUGAAAUUGGCCACUGUGAACCAAGAACAUGUUUAUUUAACAAUAUUGAUUAUGAG